CUGGCGGCAUGCCUUACACAUGCAAGUCGAACGGCAGCAUGGAGAGCUUGCUCUCUGAUGGCGAGUGGCGAACGGUGAGUAAUGCAUCGGAACGUACCGUGUAAUGGGGGAUAACGUAGCGAAAGUUACGCUAAUACCGCAUACGACCUGAGGGUGAAAGCAGGGGAUCGCAAGACCUUGCGUUAUACGAGCGGCCGAUGUCAGAUUAGCUAGUUGGUGAGGUAAAGGCUCACCAAGGCGACGAUCUGUAGCGGGUCUGAGAGGAUGAUCCGCCACACUGGGACUGAGACACGGCCCAGACUCCUACGGGAGGCAGCAGUGGGGAAUUUUGGACAAUGGGGGCAACCCUGAUCCAGCCAUGCCGCGUGAGUGAAGAAGGCCUUCGGGUUGUAAAGCUCUUUCGGCCGGGAAGAAAUCGCACAGGCUAAUACUCUGUGUGGAUGACGGUACCGGCAUAAGAAGCACCGGCUAACUACGUG
rnacentral:rRNA from 1 species